GGCUUAGAGUUUGAUCAUGGCUCAGGAUGAACGCUAGCUACAGGCUUAACACAUGCAAGUCGAGGGGCAUCAGGAAGAAAGCUUGCUUUCUUUGCUGGCGACCGGCGCACGGGUGAGUAACACGUAUCCAACCUGCCCUUUACUCGGGGAUAGCCUUUCGAAAGAAAGAUUAAUACCCGAUAGCAUAAUGAUUCCGCAUGGUUUCAUUAUUAAAGGAUUCCGGUAAAGGAUGGGGAUGCGUUCCAUUAGGUUGUUGGUGAGGUAACGGCUCACCAAGCCUUCGAUGGAUAGGGGUUCUGAGAGGAAGGUCCCCCACAUUGGAACUGAGACACGGUCCAAACUCCUACGGGAGGCAGCAGUGAGGAAUAUUGGUCAAUGGGCGCUAGCCUGAACCAGCCAAGUAGCGUGAAGGAUGAAGGCUCUAUGGGUCGUAAACUUCUUUUAUAUAAGAAUAAAGUGCAGUAUGUAUACUGUUUUGUAUGUAUUAUAUGAAUAAGGAUCGGCUAACUCCGUGCCAGCAGCCGCGGUAAUACGGAGGAUCCGAGCGUUAUCCGGAUUUAUUGGGUUUAAAGGGAGCGUAGGUGGACUGGUAAGUCAGUUGUGAAAGUUUGCGGCUCAACCGUAAAAUUGCAGUUGAUACUGUCAGUCUUGAGUACAGUAGAGGUGGGCG
rnacentral:rRNA from 1 species